ensembl:lncRNA
AUGGAUUUAAACUCUGGUCCUGCCCUGUCAGAAACCAGUGUGACCAGUACUGACCAAACAACUGGGACGGUGACAUCUAAGCAAGGAACUGGCCAGCGCUGCCGGCUCCCCGGGGACGUGCCCGCCAGCACGGGCAGUGCCUCUGCUCAGCAGCACUGAGAAAAAUCCUGCUUUGUGAUCCUCCACCUCUGCACCCUCCUCGCUGCUUAAUGCUGAGCUUGGGGAUAUCUUGCAGCUGUGCUACGGGGGGUGUGUGCUCAGAUGUUCCCCGCAGCUGACAGCAGAGCUGGACUACAAGGUGCAACUCAGGCCGUGGUGUCGCAGCCAAGGGCUGUUCCCUCAUCCUGACACUUGUUUCUCUACAGGAUUUGGCACCUUGUCCUUAGCGAAAGGGGCGGAUGCUGUCAGCCACGAGCGCUGUUGGACUGUCCUCGCACCCAGAAGCAAGGAGACGAGAGUCUGACCGUCUGCAGGCUUGGGACUUCUCCCCUUCCACCAAGCAAAGGGUCCUGAACCAAGAGGAUUUGUCACUGGAUGGUUUUUUUCUCUCCUGGGAUCUCUGGAGUGAUAAGCCCCCGUGGACUGGCGUGGGUUUUGGGUGCUCCCUUCCGCCUGUAGCUGGGAGUGUCACGGCUGGAAGGCUGCAGACACCUGCUCCUCUAAAAACCCGGUGGAUUACUACUUUUGGCAUUUUUUUAUUCUGCUCGUGCUGUGGGUUUUACUAAUCUGGUGGAACUGGCUUCCCUACGUGAAAUCUCCCAGUUUCCAGAUGUGGAAAAGCAGCAGCUACAGCCCAGGGCUACAGAGCCCCCUCUCUUUUUUUCUGGGCAACUUAUUCGGAGCAUCCUGGCUCUGGAGAAGGAGGAAGGAGUCUACGCACACAUGGAGGAGAAAUCCUGUUGGUCUUAGGGUCCGUGGUGAAGGCUCGGGGUGCGGGGACCUGAGGGGAGACAGCCAGGGUGCUGGAGCACUGAUCGUGGCCGGAACGCCCAGGAGCACCCUCCGGAGGAUGGGCACUACAGCUGUGAGGACAUUGAGAGGGACAGCGGGGACCAGCAGCUCGCCGGGGAGUGAUGGAGCACCUGGGGCUGUGGUAAGCUCCUCCACCCACCACCCACCACCGAAAACAGCUUCCCCACCAGUUGCCCCUGUACAUGUACUGGGCUCCACGUCCCCAGCCUGGUGAGGGGGGUUUCCUCCCGGCGCUGACCUUGCUCUCGACUCCCACGCGGAGCUGAAAGGACUUAAUUAGCUGCUCUCUGCUGGGCUUUGGAAAUUAUCCUCUUGGCUGGGAAGUGCUGGUGAUGGAUGGCGAAGUGCUCUUGGGUCAAACAGUAGCUCGAUGCUUUUCCCUGUGAAGGACCAAGUGCUUGCCCAGUUCCAAGGAGUCAGCUGUGGAUUUUAUUUUUGUUUUUCUUUUUUUACCCCUCUCCUCUUCUUUUUGAUGCCUUCUGGGGCCUCGGGCUUUUUGUGAGGACGGCUGGACCCAGCCUGAAGCAUGUGGCGUUCACAAAGUGCCAAUGCCUGUGGUGGGAGCUGGAGGGGCCAAAGCCUUCGGAGGAGCCUUGGGGUGGAAGCUGCGCUGGCGAUCGCAGUGCCCUGGGGUUUAAAACUGUCUGGCAGAGUCUCAUCUCAUGCCAGGGGUGUUGGGUGGCCUCGGGGGGGUGCGCACCCUCGUUCCUGGCACAUCCCACGUGGAGCCCAGCCCAGGUGGGGCUGAGGAGCGGGCGCAGGAGCGGGGGAUGCCAAACCGCAGCAAGGGGAAUGUCAAGAUGGGGGAAAAUGUCACCCUCAGAAACAAUUAAACUUCUUAAUAAAACCCAUUGCCUCUGUGAGUGCUCA